rnacentral:rRNA from 1 species
UACAGAGGGGGCAAGCGUUAUUCGGAUUUACUGGGCGUAAAGGGCGCGUAGGCGGCGCGGUAAGUCACUUGUGAAAUCUCUGAGCUUAACUCAGAAAGGCCAAGUGAUACUGCAGUGCUAGAGUGUGGAAGGGGCAAUCGGAAUUCUUGGUGUAGCGGUGAAAUGCGUAGAUAUCAAGAGGAACACCUGAGGUGAAGACGGGUUGCUGGGCCAACACUGACGCUGAGGCGCGAAAGCCAGGGGAGCAAACGGG